UACGUAGGGGGCAAGCGUUGUCCGGAGUUACUGGGCGUAAAGCGCACGCAGGCGGUCUUUUAAGUUUGGAGUGACAGUUGGUGGCUUAACUGCCAAAGUGCUUCGAAAACUGAGAGACUUGAGGGCUUCAGAGGGACACGGAAUUCCGGGUGGAGUGGUGAAAUGCGUAGAGAUCCGGAGGAACACCAAAGGCGAAGGCAGUGUCCUGGGGAGUACCUGACGCUCAGGUGCGAAAGCCAGGGGAGCGAACAGG
rnacentral:rRNA from 1 species